rnacentral:ncRNA from 1 species
GCACGCCUGUCGGGACCCGAAAGAUGGUGAACUAUGCCUGAGCGGGGCGAAGCCAGAGGAAACUCUGGUGGAGGUUCGAAGCGAUACUGACGUGCAAAUCGUUCGUCUGACUUGGGUAUAGGGGCGAAAGACUAAUCGAACCAUCUAGUAGCUGGUUCCCUCCGAAGUUUCCCUCAGGAUAGCUGGAGCCCAUUACGAGUUCUAUCAGG